AGGGGCGCAGCAGUGGGGAAUCUUCCGCAAUGGGCGAAAGCCUGACGGAGCAACGCCGCGUGAACGAAGAAGGCCUUCGGGUCAUAAAGUUCUGUCCUCAGGGAAGAACCCUCAUGGUAGGGAAUGACCAUGAGCUGACGGUACCUGGGAAGGAAGCCCUGGCUAACUACGUGCCAGCAGCCGCGGUAAUACGUAGAGGGCAAGCGUUGUCCGGAAUCACUGGGCGUAAAGGGUACGUAGGCGGAUAUAUAAGUCAAAUGUGAAAGGCACCGGCUUAACCGGUGAGCUGCAUUUGAAACUGUAUAUCUUGAGUUCAGGAGAGGAGAGCGGAAUUCCUGGUGUAGCGGUGGAAUGCGUAGAUAUCAGGAAGAACACCAGUGGCGAAGGCGGCUCUCUGGCCUGAAACUGACGCUCAGGUACGAAAGCUGGGGUAGCAAACGGGAUUAGAUACCCCGGUAGUCCCAGCCGUAAACGAUGGACACUAGGUGUUGGGGGUUCGAAUCCUUCAGUGCCGAAGUUAACGCAUUAAGUGUCCCGCCUGGGGAGUACGGUCGCAAGACUGAAACUCAAAGGAAUUGGCGGGGGAGCACA
rnacentral:rRNA from 1 species